GACGAACGCUGGCGGCGUGCUUAACACAUGCAAGUCGAACGGAAAGGCCCUGCUUUUGUGGGGUGCUCGAGUGGCGAACGGGUGAGUAACACGUGAGUAACCUGCCCUUGACUUUGGGAUAACUUCAGGAAACUGGGGCUAAUACCGGAUAGGAGCUCCUGCUGCAUGGUGGGGGUUGGAAAGUUUCGGCGGUUGGGGAUGGACUCGCGGCUUAUCAGCUUGUUGGUGGGGUAGUGGCUUACCAAGGCUUUGACGGGUAGCCGGCCUGAGAGGGUGACCGGCCACAUGGGGACUGAGAUACGGCCCAGACUCCUACGGGAGGCAGCAGUGGGGAAUAUUGCACAAUGGGCGGAAGCCUGAGGCAGCAACGCCGCGUGCGGGAGGACGGCCUUCGGGUUGUAAACCGCUUUCGCCUGUGACGAAGCGUGAGUGACGGUAAUGGGUAAAGAAGCACCGGCUAACUACGU
rnacentral:rRNA from 1 species